rnacentral:rRNA from 1 species
CUACGGGUGGCACCAGUGGGGAAUUUUGCGCAAUGGGGGCAACCCUGACGCAGCAAUACCGCGUGAGUGAAGAAGGCCUUUGGGUCGUAAAGCUCUUUUCUAAGGGAAGAUAGUGACGGUACCUUAGGAAUAAGCACCGGCUAACUCCGUGCCAGCAGCCGCGGUAAUACGGAGGGUGCGAGCGUUGUUCGGAUUUACUGGGCGUAAAGGGCACGUAGGCGGCCUAGCAAGUUAAGGGUGAAAUCCCGGGGCUCAACUCCGGAACUGCUCUUAAAACUGCUAAGCUAGAGAUAGUCAGAGGCGGGUGGAAUUCCAGGUGUAGGGGUGAAAUUCGUAGAUAUCUGGAGGAACACCGGUGGCGAAGGCGGCCCGCUGGGGCUAUUCUGACGCUGAGGUGCGAAAGCGUGGGGAGCGAACGGGAUUAGAUACCCGCGUAGUC